GGGAGUACUCUGAUGCAGCGACGCCGCGUGAGUGAAGAAGUGAUUCGUUAUGUAAAGCUCUAUCAGCAGGGAAGAUAGUGACGGUACCUGACUAAGAAGCUCCGGCUAAAUACGUGCCAGCAGCCGCGGUAAUACGUAUGGAGCAAGCGUUAUCCGGAUUUACUGGGUGUAAAGGGAGUGUAGGUGGCCAUGCAAGUCAGAAGUGAAAAUCCGGGGCUCAACCCCGGAACUGCUUUUGAAACUGUAAGGCUGGAGUUUGGCAGAGGGAG
rnacentral:rRNA from 1 species